ensembl:misc_RNA
UUAGCAGCUCCAGAGACUGCAGUCUUCUAUUUAUCCCUGGAACAGACACAACAUCGGCAGUAGCAAGACAAAUACACCCCAGAUGGCCCCACCACUGAGCCUUGACCGUGUCCUGGAGGGACCAUGUUUAGGAUUGGGAAAGGCAUCUAUUCUUCCUGUCCAUGUAAUCAAUCACUUCU